GUUACGAAGGCCCCACUGUCUUAAGAGGACUCUCCAUGAAAUUGAAUUCGUAGUGAAGAUGCUACGUCCAUAUUGUAAGACGAAAAGACCCCAUUGAGCUUUACUAAAGACUUGCAUGGCUAAAAAUAAUUUAAUUUAAAUAAAAAGUUUAGAUAAUGUGGGAUCCGUUUCCGGUUAAUAAAACACCACUCUUUUAUUUUAAGAGAGCUAACAUCGCAGGGAUAAUGUAAGUUGGAUAGUUUGGUUGGGGCGACCACCUUUUAAAAGGUAACGAAGGUGAGCUUAAGGUCCGUAGUUAAUAGCCGGUGGCCUGACUGCAAGGGGGACGUCUCGAGCAGACACGUCCUUAGGGAUGUGGGCUAUAGUGACCC
rnacentral:rRNA from 1 species